GACCUCUUCGGUGGCCUAGUGGUCAGAGCGUCCGCCUCGGAUGCGGGAGGUGGUGGGCUUGAUCCCCGGCUGAGUUA